UGCCAGCAGUCGCGGUUAAACCAAGAAAUUUAGUCAUUCUUUUAUGGUAAAAAGACAGUUAGGCAGAAAAGUAAAGGACCCUUAGACCCUUAGUACAGGAGUAAAAUCUAAAUACUAAGAGUUAUACCUGACAUGGUUUAUUAAAAGUGCUGAAUCUGUGAUAGCUUUAAGGGAAACUGGGAUUGGAUACCCCAUUAUUUUUAGUUGUAAAUUUAGUUAAGACUUACCGGAGUACUGCGAAUAAAAAAGUUUAAAACUCAAAGGGCUUGGCGGUGUUUUAGACCUCUCAGGGGAACCUGUCUCAUAAUCGACAAUCCACGUUAAACCUAACCUUUUAUAGCGAUACAGUUUGUAUACCGUCGUCGUCAGGUAACCUCUUAAAAUAUAGUAGUUAGCCCGAGAAUCAAGUUAAUUAAAACGUCAGAUCAAGGUGCAGCCAAUAAAAAGGUGAGGAUGGGUUACAAUUACACAUUUGUAAAUACGGAAAAUACUUGAAACAAAGUAUCUUAAAGGAGGACUUGAAAGUAAUUCUAAUUAUAUAAAUAGGAUGAAUAAGGCUCUGAAACGUGCACACAUCGCCCGCCGCUCUU
rnacentral:rRNA from 1 species